UACGUAGGGGGCAAGCGUUGUCCGGAAUUAUUGGGCGUAAAGAGCUCGUAGGCGGCUUGUCACGUCGGGUGUGAAAGACCGGGGCUUAACCCCGGUUCUGCAUUCGAUACGGGCUGGCUAGAGUGUGGUAGGGGAGAUCGGAAUUCCUGGUGUAGCGGUGAAAUGCGCAGAUAUCAGGAGGAACACCGGUGGCGAAGGCGGAUCUCUGGGCCAUUACUGACGCUGAGGAGCGAAAGCGUGGGGAGCGAACAGG
rnacentral:rRNA from 1 species